rnacentral:lncRNA from 1 species
UAAAAGCAAUCACACAAUUAUGAAUACAACUUUAGCAAAUAUGAAGCGAUAUCAGUUGGGAUGCAUAAAAUACGAAUGUUUCAACCUCACUCCGAAGGAGGACCAAAACUAAUUUUGCAAAAUAUAACUUGCUUUAUAUUCUAGGUACAGAGCAUUUGUCAGUCAGUCAUUUUUUCUCUUUUCUGGGAUAUAAUUUCUCACAACCAAGCUUUAGCCAACGCAAACAAAAGACCAUUAUCACCAUGCCAUAGAACAACAACUGACCAAACUGCCAUAGACAUAGAUGCCGUCAGGCGGGCACAAUACUAAAUGGAUACUGAGAUGCUAGCUCUAGGUAAAUAUACCACAACAAGAUAUGUUAAAUAUGGUUGUAACAUGCUCGAUACCAGAAUGUUAGCUGCCAAGGCUGAUCUAGAAUAUCAUCAAAAGCAGCCACCUCUCCCAGACCAUACUUAAUUUGAACAACAAAAUAGAGACCUCCCAAUAAAAUAGAGAAAAGCAAACGGUUAAUUAAUAUGCUGGAAAAAUCAAGAUGAUUAGGACACAUCUUGCAGAAACAUAUUGGUGAAAUAAUAAUCACGCAAAGAAUCAUGGAGAAAGAACUAUUGUCAGGAUCAUGAGGCUAACAAUUAAUUGCAUAGCUAGUAGUAGUAGUGGCCGAUUAACAGCUUAGUUGACCUGCAAGUAGACAUGGUAAAUCUGUUCGUCAGAUAGACAGUUCGUGUCCCACGGGCCUCUCCUCUCCUGCAGUGUCUUCUGGAGGGUAACCCCAUGACCGUGUGCGCCAAGUUCUUCAGCCUGAUCUGGCGGAGCUCCGGAGUGCCAUCUCCUCAGGCAGGCCCCCAUACUUAACACUUACACAAGGGUAUCUUCGCUGGUAAAAUAUAGGUAUUGUUUCUCAAAACAAUAAAGAAAAUAACAUUAAUAAUAUGCGAUCAUUUUAUAGUUUUGUAAAACAUACUGAAUUAGUGACAUUAUAUGGUCAUCUACUGUCAAAUGAAAUAAUUAUUUCCACCAAUAAAACGUUCAGGGUAUUGUCUAGUGGUGUGUAGAAAAAAGGAUUUUCAGCAUAAAUAGCGCCACGGUUACCUCAAGCGAGAGAGUAUCCAGUCAAUCUAUUGUUGUUUCAACAAACUAUGUGUCGUGGCCUUAGGAUAUCUUUGACUUGAGAAGCAGUUCCAUCAUCUGUUUUCCUAUUUGGUACUAAAGUGAUUUCCCCCGGUUUUGAGCUUGGUAAUUUAUUUUCCAGCUGAAGUCAUUAGAAAAAUGAAACUGUGUUACAUAACUUACAUUGAGGAUUACACUGCAAUUAAAGUGAUAUUAAGACUAUCUAUACAUUGUCAGCUAAAAAAUUAAGAUAUACUGGGAGGGCUACCAUGUUCUCCUAGAGAAGGCAUAAUUGGAAGAUGUGAAGUAGUUAUGUCCAGACUUGUAGAAAGCACAUAGGACGAAUGUUUGUAGUUACACCACAUAAUCUCGACCAAGCCGCAUGAGACUGAAUGUAUCAAGUAAACAUGCAAAUAAAAUGCACGUUGCUAUCAAGUACUCCCUCUGUGAACUAAUAUAAGAGGGUUUAGAUAACUAAAGUAGUGAUCUAAACACUCUUAUAUUAGUUUACGGAGGGAGUACUAAAAGUUUAUGUUCCUUGAUUCCUUCCUUGGAGAGUAAGCAGGUAUUCCACAAUUUAUUAUACAGAAGAAAAAAGGACAAUAUCAGCUAGAGCUCUCAUGUCCAAAAUAAAAUGGCCACAUAUAUCUACUUUGUGAUAAUCCCUGAUAUGCAAACUUGCAGCGAAGGAAAACUACGGCCUUCCCAACGUGAACCCUCUCCCUACUUCCCUCAGAGCCUCCCCCGAUUCGGUAUUCAAUGUCCAAAGCGGAGAUCUCCCGCCGGCGGUGGAGUCGCCAGCGGAGUCGCCUAAACCCUAAUCGAGAGGGUACUCUCACGCACACACCUGUAAGUGCAUCUAGUGCCACCCCUAGUUGGUUUUGGAGUAUUGACGACAAAGUUGGUUGAGGGACUAAUGCGUUUGUGAGAAUUGCAGGAUAACGCAGGUAGUGUCCCUCAUUGAUUCGGUUUACCUACCGGAGAUGACCCCUAAAAAUGUAUGAAGACAUUGAAGACAAUGAUGGUAUGAGAAGAUAUUCAUAUUGAAGACUAUGACAUGAGAAGACAUUGCGUGAAGACUAUGGAGCGCGAAGACUGUGUGGAUUCGUUGCUUCCUUUUCUUCUUUGUUGAGUCAUAGGAACCACCGUACUAAGUGGGGUCCAAGGGAACUAAGUCAGAGUGACUGAAGUGAUGCUCAACUCAAAUCCUAUGUCUUCGAGCGAAGACAAUGAGAGCAAACCUUAUCCAGAGCUGGAUGAGUCAGCUUUGCUUGUAGCCCAAGUAAAGUUGCCGUGUGUGUUUGAAAUCUGACCGUUGGAACACAUGUCAGUUCCUUAGUGACCCAGGGUCAUUUUGGACAAAUCAGGUCGGGUUGCCUAGUGGCUAUAAAUAGCCCACCCCCUACACCAUAAAUUGGUGGCUGCUCAGAGUUAGUAUACGGCUUUUGUCGUUUGAGAGCAACCCACCUCGAAGCAUUUGAGAGAGAGAAAUCCUUGCGAGGACAAAGCCCAAACACCCAGAGCCAAAGAGUGUUAGGCAUCACUGAAGUCUUUCUGUCUGUGUGACCUGAAGACUUACUACACUUGAGGACUGUGUAUCCUCCAGCCGGUUAGGCGUCGCGUUCUGAGCAUCCAAGAGUCAUUGUGGAUUGCCGGGUGAACGAAGUCUGUGAAGGUUUGGAAGUCUACCUUGAAGACUUACCAGAGUGAUUGGGCAAGGACUAAGUGACCUUAGCUCAAGGGGAAUAAGGUGAAGACACGGUCUUCUGAGUUGAAUCUCAGCCUCCCUAACCAGACGUACAGUUGUCACAGCAACUGGAACUGGUCCAACAAAUCCUGUGUCUUCAACAAGUGACUGGUUCUAUCUCUUCCCUCCUUUACCUUGAGUUUGUCUUCGUGAAGUCGUUGCUUAUCUGUCUUAUCUGGUUGACUUCAUUGCUUGACUACUAUUGUUGAUUGGCUUCAUACUAUCUUCCAUCCUGAUCCUGCUACCAAGCUGCUAUUAGUCUUCGUACGUUAACGCUAUUGCAUACUUGACUAUGGCUUGCUUGUUGUAGUUUAUCUUCCGCUACAUAUCAAUUAGGUCAUUUCUAUUGUUUGUCUUCGAAACUUCCACGUUUUGAAGACUUUGAUAAAAAUCGCCUAUUCACCCCCCCUCUAGUCGAUAACUAGCACUUUCAAUUGGUAUCAGAGCAAGGUACUCCCUUGUUCUGUGUGAUUCGGUUUAACCACCUGGAGUUUAGCUAUGUCGACUGCAGGGAUAAUCAAAGUCUCCGCUGCUUGCCCCGUGUUCGAUGGAACAGAAUAUCCCUACUGAAAGAAUAAGAUGCGCAUGCAUCUUGAAGCCAUUGAUGUCGACCUCUGGUAUGUCGUCAAGAAUGGCGUUCCCAAAACUGGUGAAGGUGUCACCCCUACUGAUGUCAAGAAGUUCAUUAAACUGGACUCGACUGCAAAGAACAUCAUCUGUGGUCAUCUGACCAAAGGACAGUAUAGCCGUGUGAGUGCUCUGGAAACGUCAAAGCUAGUCUGGGACUGGCUGUCCAAGGUCAAUGAAGGCGUCUCUACACAGAGAGACCAGAGGAUCAGUGUUCUUCGCAAUCUCUUCAAUCGCUUCAAGAGAAACGACAAUGAAAAUGUCCAGCUCACGUUUGAUCGCCUCACCGACAUCACAAAUGAGCUUCAGGCUCUCGACGCCACUGAGAUCACCAAGCAUGAAAUUGUCAAGACACUGUUGAGAUCACUUGACACCUCCUUUGACAUCCUUGCCCUCAUGAUACAAGAAUGUCCUGACUUCAAGACACUCGAUCCGUCUGAUAUACUUGAGAGGCUCAACACACAUGAGUUCCAGCUUUCUGAGAAAAGAGAUAUCUGUGGCCCCAACUAUGGCCGAACUCGUGCUUUGAAGGCAAAGGUUGUUUCCUCAUCUGAAGAAGAAGAAUCUGACUGCGGUUCUGACGAUCCUGAAGACAUUGGAAGGGAGCUUGCUAUGCUUGUGAAGAAGUUCUAGAAAUUCACCAAGAAGAAGGGCUUCAGAAAGUCUUCACGAUCCAGUUCAAGAAAUGAUGAAGCUUCCACUCAAGACAACAAGAAGAGAACAUGUCACAAGUGUAAGAAGCCUGUGCACUACAUCUCUGAGUGUCCUCAGUGGGACAACGAGAAGAAGAAGAAGAAGAAGAGCAAGGAAUAUGACUCCGAUGACAAGAAGAAGAAGAAAUCUUCGAAGUCUUCUUCCAAGUCCUCAUCAAGGUCUUAAUCUCACAAGAAGAGCUCAUCUGGCAAGGCUCGUGCUUUUGUUGGCAAGGAAAUGGAUUCAGAGGAGGAGUCUGCCUCUGAGGAGGCAGAGGUGGAAUCUGAAGCUGAGUCCGACUCUGGUGUUGCAAGUCUGGCUCUGGCCACAGCCUACGUCGCAAAGUCCAUCUUCAACACUGAAGACAAUGACUCCCACACCAAUGCUGAUGAUGACAAGGACGAUCCUGCUCCCACCUAAUGCUUCAUGGCACGCGGUGCCAAGGUAAAAUCGCGCGAUGCUUACUUUCAAACAUCAAGUGAAGAUGACUUUGAUUGUGAAUCUAAACCCAGCUACAAAACACUUGCUAAAAUUGCUACUGAACAACAAAGGGCUAUGGAACAUACUCAAAAACUGUUAGACAAAAGCGAUGACCUGUUGGACGCGGAAAUGACACGUUCACAGUCCUUAGUUGAAGACAUAAAAAAUCUUCAUGCUAAGUAUCAAGAACUUGAAAGUCUUCAUGAGACGCUCUCAACCACUUAUGAAAAGCUCUCCUAUGAUUAUCUUCAAAGGAAGCAAGAGCUUGAGAAACUGAAAGUGACUCAUGAAGAUCUUCAAAAAGAGAACGAUUCAUUACUUGCUCAACAGAUCAGUCCCGCUCAGGAUGAAUUUGAACCACCAUGCUUAAAAUGCAUUGAGCGUGAUAACGCUGCCUCUGUUGCUGAAUGUUCCACUGCUGCUACUGUUGCUUUGUCUUCAACUACUGAUGUGGUAACUAACCCCUCUUCUGAGGAUACCACUACUAUUGCUGAUGAAAAUGCUAGGUUGAAGACAUUGCUUGAAACAGGAAUGUAUAAAAGUCUGAGAGGGCAUCAGACACUUUGUGAUGUCCUCAAAAAGCAGAUUCUGAACCGAAACCCUAGGAAAGAGGGUGUUGGGUUCGAGAGGAAAAUGAAUGCUGAUGGUUCCUACUGGAAGCCUGAGCAGUAUCCCAAACCUUCAGUGGAUCCAUCUACUUUAUCUGGAUUUACCUAUGCUAAUCCUAUUAUCAUUGAUGAAUCCUUUGAUGCAAACUAUAAACUGUUCAAAAAUCAGAAUGGUGAAGUGUUUGCCAGGUAUAUUGGUACUAACUGCAGGAAUGGACCUCCUAUGAAGAAGAUCUAGGUUCCCAAAAGCUGCCUUGAGAAUCUUUCAGUGAAUGUCAUCAUGACACCACCAGGGAAGAAGACAAACCCCAGACCAAAGGCAUCAUAUGGUCCAACGGCUGCAUACGAACACAGGACUCAAUUGAGUCACCCUAACGCCAAUGUUUUGCAGGGAAAUCAUACUCAGACUCAUGAAUAUGAGCGUGUGUCUUCAAACCGCUAUGUUCAUAGCACUAAAAACUUUUCUGCUUAUUCACAUGAGUAUCAUUCACCUCCUGCAAGGCUAUUUGCUAGGGCUUCAAAGCCGAAAUUCUCAGAUGCUGCACUUAGACUCAUUGCUUCUAAGCCACCCCUGAAAAUAUGGGUGGUGAAGAAGAAUUAACUCUCUUUUGCAGAAUGUGGUCUCUAGCCAGCAAUCAAUGGCGUCCGAUAUAAUUGCUGGGGACCUAAAACACAAAGGGACGCAUGAUAAAAUGACUUACUAUGUAUUCCACAUAUGAAUCACUUACCUGUCAUACUGUGUGCUAACUUUCAUCUAUGCUGUGAUAAUCCAUGUAUGCAACAACUGCUUAUGCUUCACAACAUACCUUGUGAAGCCUAUCCUCCUAACUGCACUAUAGGGCAUGUCACCAAAAGCUUCAGAAUGGAUUAUUGACAGCGGAUGCACUAAUCAUAUGACUGGUGAUCGAAGUCUUCUCAUGGACUCAACCUUACGUCCAUCCGACAAGAGUCAAAUCACAUUUGCUGACACUGGUAAAGGCAAGGUAUUGGGUCUAGGUAGAGUUGCAAUCUCAAAGGAUCAACACAUGGAUAAAGUGAUGCUUGUUGAAUCCCUUGGAUUCAACUUAAUGUCUGUCUCAAUGCUUUGUGACUUAAACAUGAUUGUGAUAUUUGGAAAAUAUCGUUGCCUUGUACUAAUGGAAUCUGACAAGUCUCUAGUCUUUGAAGGGUAUAGGAAAGGUGAUCUAUACAUGGUAGAUUUCUCAGCAGGUCCACAGCUUGCCAUAUGUCUUCUUGUAAAAGCUUCAGAAUGCUGGCUUUGGCAUCGAAGGCUAGGGCACGCUGGCAUGAGGAACUUGCACACUCUCGUCAAGAAGAAGCAUGUCAUAGGCAUCGAAGGUGUCAAGUUCAAGAAAGAUCAUUUGUGUGGUGCUUAUGAAGCUGGAAAGAUGACAAGGGCAAAGCACCCCUCGAAGACAAUCAUGACCACGUCUCAACCCUUCGAGCUGCUACACAUGAACUUAUUUGGACCUACUCAUUACUCCACCCUGACAACAACGGCGUGUCUCUAUGGCUUCGUCAUUGUUGAUGACUACUCAAGAUACACAUGGGUUCAUAUAAUUCUCUACAAGACUGAAGUACAAGAUGUCUUCAGACGAUUCGCCAAUCGAGCAAUGAACAAUUAUGGCGUCAAGAUCAAGCAUAUCAGAAGUGAUAACGGCACUGAAUUCAAGAACACCGGGCUUGAUCUUUAUCUGGAUACAAUGGGAAUCACUCAUGAAUUUUCUGCUCCAUACACACCUCAGCAAAACGGCAUUGUAGAGUGCAAGAACAGAACCCUCAUCGAGAUGGCUCGAACAAUGCUUGACGAGUACAAGACACCAAGAAAGUUCUGGCCUCAAGCCAUUGAUACAGCUUGUCACAUCAUCAACCGUGUCUACAUCCAUAAGCUUCUGGGCAAAACAUCAUAUGAGCUCCUUACUGGCAAGAAGCCAAAUGUCAGUUACUUCAGAGUCUUUGGAGCUAGGUGCUGGAUCAAGGAUCCCCAUCACAAGUCAAAAUUUAAACCCAAAGCUCACGAAGGCUUCAUGCUUGGCUAUGGAAAGGAUUCGCACUCUUACAGAGUCUUCAACCUCUUCCACUACAAAAUCGUUGAAACAGUGGAUAUGCGAUUUGAUGAAACCAAUGGUUCACAACGAGAGCUCCUGCCAAACACACUUGAUGAAGCUCCUUCCUGUGAAUCUAUCAAGCUGAUGGGAACUGGUGAAAUCAUGCCCUCUGAAGCACAGCCUGAAGAGGAACUUAUCAUUUCUGCACCAAACCAACUUGAAGACAAUGCUCAGGCUGAAGACAAUACUUCCAAUGAUGACAAUGGUCAGCAUGAGCAAGGUCUUCGUCCAGUUCAUCAUCGUGUUGCAAAUGAAGUACAAAUUGAGAAGAUAAUUGACAGCAACAAUGCGCCUGGUCCGCUUACUCGCUCAAGAGCAACAUAGUUAGCAAACUUCUGUGGGCACUUUUCAUUUGUGUCAAUAUCAGAACCCAAGAAAGUUGCUGAAGCUUUUAUGGAACCUGAAUGGAUUCAAGCCAUGCAAGAAGAACUUCAACAGUUCAAGCUGAAUAAUGUUUGGGAACUUGUCAAGGGACCUGACCCUCGCAAGCAUAACAUUAUAGGAACAAAGUGGAUAUAUCGAAACAAGCAAGAUGAGCAUGGUCAAGUCGUCAGAAACAAAGCACGUCUUGUGGCUCAAGGAUAUACUCAAGUUGAAGGAAUUGACUUCGAUGAAACAUUUGCUCCUGUUGCUAGACUUGAAGCUAUUUGCAUACUGCUAGCCUACGCUAAUCAUCACAACAUCUUGCUAUAUCAAAUGGAUUUGUAGAGUGCAUUUCUCAAUGGCAAGAUUGAAGAAGAAGUAUAUAUCGCUCAACCACCUGGCUUUCAAGAUCCAAAACAUCCUGAUAUGGUGUACAAGCUGAACAAAGCACUGUAUGGCCUCAAACAAGCUCCUCGUGCCUGGUAUGAUACAAUCAAAGACUUCCUAAAGAGCAAAGGCUUCAAACCUGGAUCCCUCGAUCCCACACUCUUCACGAAGACAUAUGAUGGUGAACUGUUUGUGUGCCAAUAUAUGUGGAUGACAUAAUCUUCGGCUGCACCAACCAGAAGUACAGUGAUGAGUUUGGGUACAUGAUGCAAGAGCAAUAUCAAAUGUCCAUGAUGGGUGAGCUAAAGUUUUUCCUUGGUCUUCAAAUUCGUCAGCAACGAAAUGGCAUCUUCAUAUCUCAAGAAAAAUACCUCAAAGAUUGUCUGAAGAAGUUUGGAAUGGAAGACCGCAAAGGCUACACGACGCCAAUGCCAGCCAAACACCAUCUUGGUCCCGACGACAAUGGUAAAGCGUUCGAUCAAAAGGUAUACCGCUCCAUGAUUGGUUCUUUGCUUUAUUUAUGUGCAUCUAGGCCAGAUAUUAUGCUUAGUGUUUGCAUGUGUGCUCGAUUCCAAGCGGCACCAAAGGAAUCGCAUCACUUAGCUGUGAAGCGAAUUCUUCGAUAUUUGGCUUACACCCCAACACUUGGAUUAUGGUAUCCAAAGGGCUCAAGGUUUGACCUAGUUCGAUUCUCGGAUGUUGAUUAUGCUGGUGACAAGGUGGAUCGCAAGUCAACAUCAGGCACAUGUCAUUUUCAUGGUGAAUCACUUGUCUGUUGGUCUUCAAAGAAGUAGAACUGUGUAUCACUCUCAACUGCUGAAUCUGAAUACAUUGCUGCUGGAUCCUGUUGUGCUCAGCUUCUAUGGAUGAAGCAAACUUUCAAGGAUUAUGGCAUCAACCUGAAACAAGUACCUCUCUUCUGCGACAACGAAAGUGCCAUCAAGAUAGCCAACAAUCCAGUCCAGCACUCGAAGACAAAACACAUUGAAAUACGUCAUCACUUUCUCAGAGAUCAUGUUAUGAAGAAAGAUAUAGAUAUCAUGCACGUCAACACUGAAAAGCAACUGGCAUAUAUCUUCACAAAGCCCUUGGAUGAGAAAAGGUUUUGCAAGUUACGGUGUGAGCUAAAUAUCUUGAAAUCCUCAAAUGUCCUGUGAUCAGGCACACAUCCUAACACUUAUGCAUGUUGAUGACUUAGAUGUGCAACACACAAAAUAAUGUAUAUCUUCAAUCAAUGAAGAUUUACAAUCUGAGUGUGAAUACAUUAACAUGGAAUUUGACUUCGGAGCGCCACGAUAAUUGUGCGCCGUGUCUGGGUCUAAUACUUCCUAUACGGUGGGUAACGCCACCACCAAAUUUCUCUGUUUGAAGUGUUUCAUUCAUGGCGUUACUUUUGCAAAGACUUCAUAUUUGGUUUGUCUUCAGUUUCAAUUUAUCUUCAUGAUUUUCUGCGCUAUGAUGAGUUNNNNNNNNNNNNNNNNNNNNNNNNNNNNNNNNNNNNNNNNNNNNNNNNNNNNNNNNNNNNNNNNNNNNNNNNNNNNNNNNNNNNNNNNNNNNNNNNNNNNNNNNNNNNNNNNNNNNNNNNNNNNNNNNNNNNNNNNNNNNNNNNNNNNNNNNNNNNNNNNNNNNNNNNNNNNNNNNNNNNNNNNNNNNNNNNNNNNNNNNNNNNNNNNNNNNNNNNNNNNNNNNNNNNNNNNNNNNNNNNNNNNNNNNNNNNNNNNNNNNNNNNNNNNNNNNNNNNNNNNNNNNNNNNNNNNNNNNNNNNNNNNNNNNNNNNNNNNNNNNNNNNNNNNNNNNNNNNNNNNNNNNNNNNNNNNNNNNNNNNNNNNNNNNNNNNNNNNNNNNNNNNNNNNNNNNNNNNNNNNNNNNNNNNNNNNNNNNNNNNNNNNNNNNNNNNNNNNNNNNNNNNNNNNNNNNNNNNNNNNNNNNNNNNNNNNNNNNNNNNNNNNNNNNNNNNNNNNNNNNNNNNNNNNNNNNNNNNNNNNNNNNNNNNNNNNNNNNNNNNNNNNNNNNNNNNNNNNNNNNNNNNNNNNNNNNNNNNNNNNNNNNNNNNNNNNNNNNNNNNNNNNNNNNNNNNNNNNNNNNNNNNNNNNNNNNNNNNNNNNNNNNNNNNNNNNNNNNNNNNNNNNNNACUAGCGUUCUGUCCUCUACAGCAUUCACUUAUAGCUAUGUCUUCAAGUUGAAUCUUUUGAACUAAGUGAAUGUGGUCGGACCCUAACCCCUCUAUGCUUUCUAUCUCAAACUCUAUCUGUCCAAAUCAUAUGCAUUCUAUUGAAACUGUCGAAUGUCUUCUCUGCGUCCUAGUCAAUAGAAGGCAAAGAGACAAACAUUAAAUUUGUUUUAAAUGACUUAUCUUUAUUGUUGAAAUCCGGUGAAGCCGGAACAACUCUCCGACAUGCCUGGCGGCGUGGGAACGUGGGACAAUUCUAAGUAUGUUGCAUGCUUGCCAUGUACCCCUCAGGCGUGAACCGCCAGGGGCACCAGCGUAAUUGCGCUGUGUCUCUCACCUACUUAUAAAUACUUGUCCCCUGCGGUAAAGAAAUCCUUCUUCCACCUCUCCACCUCCGUCAAAACCCUAGCGCCACCGCUAGCUCGCGACGACGCCGUCGACGAAGCGCUUAGCUGCCGCGACUUCUCCGACGCCGUCCUCACACCGGCUGCGGACAUCGUCCUCUCCGCCGUCGCCGUAGGUGUCCUCCGUCGCCAAGUUAAGGCACGGUGGGCUGAACUGCUCGGUCUCUCAUUCUUCCCAUCUAGCAGUUCGUCGUGCGGUAAUUAUAACUCUAUUUUUACCACCUUUUUGAUCUUCAUAGAUUCAUCCUUCUUACCGAAAGUGGUUUCUACCUACUCAAUGUUAGAUCUAUUCUGUCUGCAUCUCAUAAUGCCUAGUCUAUUCACUUAGAUUUCCUAUCUAGUUUGAUUCCUCACUUGUACUUAUUCACGGAUUGGUACAAAUCUGGAACCAACUCACCACAUAUAAGUGAAUGUCUUCGCAUCAUGAGGUCAAUGUCUUCAAACUGAUUUAUCUUCAAAAUCUUCUGAGAAUGCAUAUGACCUCUUCCCCUUCCCUCGCAUCUCUAAUGCUGUCACAGGUACAUGUCCGUGGGAGAAUCCCUUGGUUCUCAUAGUCUGCAUUCGUUUGCAGAAUACUUACAGCAUCAUAUAAAUUCUCCUGAAGCCAGUUCCUGCUUGACCAGCAAGCGUAAAUCUCUGAAGCCUCUGAACGUACUGAAGCCAUUCAACUUGAAGUUCAUGGCUGCAGAAAAAUCAGCAAGGAAGGGUGGCAGACAGCGUCGUGUGGGAACUUCAAAGGAUCUGCCUGAGGAUCUGGCAGAAAUGUAUAAAACAGAUCCUGAAGAAGAUUACAAUCAGCGCAAGACUCGAAUCCAAUGGAUUCGACGCUAUUGGGCUGAACAGUGGUACAAGUACAAGUUCGUCACCCAGGAGUACGCAGAGAAAAAUGCAAUGCUAUCAAGAGCCCUCGGGGUGAUAUUCUCUAUCGAGGCCUUCCCCCAAAGAACAAAGCUGAAGCCAUUGCGCAAGAAUUCUAUCCUUGCAUGGUCCGUGGGCCACAGCCUGAAGAAGCCGACCCAUCAUCAUUGCUCUGGUGUCGUGACGACAAUCUCUUCAAGCGCAACUUCCAGUUUGCUAAGGCUUCAGCAAAGGAAAACAAGAAGUCACGGGGAUUAGACUUCAAUCCUGGUCCCUCUGCUCCCCGUGAUGAUGGCACACGUGGAGCUGAAGAAAACAGAAUUGGCCCCUUUGCAAACCUUGAUGGCCUCAUCAAUUACAUCUUGGUCCAAGGUGCCAAGGUAGAUCAUACUGAUAAUGAUGCUGAGCAUGAUGAAGCCUUUGCCACGUGAUGCUGAAUAUCCAACAGAGUUCUUUGUUGAAGACCUUGAGUAUCUGCCACGCACCAUAUAUCACAUCAUUAGGCGAACUCUAUGGCCUAUCAAAGGACAUUCAUCAGCGGCAAAGCUUGAAGGAGCUAUGAAGACUUUGGUCUUCUGCAUUCUCAAUGGCAUCAGCUUCAAUGCGCAAGACUUCUUCAUCAGGCAACUUGCUGCUUCCGGCUCUGACCUAUUUGGUCUGAAGUUUUAUGCUCCAUGGGUCAUGCGCCUCAUCAAGCGACACUCAUCUGUCAACUAUCAACCAUCUGCUCGCAAUCAUGUGAUUUUUCUACCAGAGGUUGAUAUGUCAGUUGAAGCUAUAUACCCUGAACCUGCCAAGAAGCCUCUUUGUCUUCAGAAUGCCGAGCACCAAAGCUUCACUCAACCCAUUGAAGGUGUUCAAGCAGCGACUCGAAUCUAUCCUUUGGCUGGAAAUACUUGUCUGCCUCAUCGAGCACCUACUGAAGCCACUGAAAGCACCAUUGCCCAAAGGCCUCAGAAGCAUUCUCGCGUUCUCAAUGACCGAGAACUUCUUGUGGCCCUUCAUCAGAAACAGGAUAAGCAUCAUUUCUGGCUCAAGAGACAGAUGCAAAGCAUCUUGGUGGAUGUCAAUCGCAUUCACAACCUUGCCACCAAGAAUGCCUUUGUUGCUCAUGAAACUUGCCGGCGAUCAUGGAAGAGCUUGACCCUGCUUAGUGCUGAAGCAGAUCUUCAAGACAAUGGCUUCAAUGAACGAUUCCAGUUUGACUCCACUCCUCCACGGACUGCUGUCCUACGUCGUACUCCAUCUCUUGAAGAUUCUGAAUAUUCUUCCUCCGCGGCAAUAGUAAAUGCCAGAGUGAUCGAUGAUGAAGAUGAUGCUACUUCACCACCUCCUACUUCUGCAUGCAUCGACACUGCACCAAGUUCAUCUGCACCGCCAAACGACAACGACAACCCUACUGCUUCAACUACUCCUCGUGAGGACGAGUAGAUGCUCUAUGUCUUCAAACCUUUUUGGUCAUUACUGACAAAAGGGGGAGAAGCGUAUGAGUUUGAUAGUCUUCAAGCGGGUUCAUAUGGGCGGUUGCAUUAUAUUUUUGCCUCGUGCUUACAACUCUUUCUUUUUGAAAACAUUUGGUUUUUUGAGUUGUAACACCUAAACUUGAUGGUCGUCUGCUACUUGUUUGCUUUACUGUGAUGCGAUGAUAAAUUCCGCAUGUGCGAUGAUAACUUCCGCACUUAGAUCAUCCUGUAGACGUCCAUUUUUCAUUAUGCAUGUCAUCCUAUAAGCUAUAUCAUUUCAUGCAUGAUGAAUUAUCUUCAUAAGUUGAAGUGGAUCUCCACAAGUACAACCUGCCAUGUGCAUUUGCAUUCCAAAAGCAAAAUUACUUAUAUGCACAUCUUCAGGGGGAGCCCUUGCUACUUAUGAAGACUAUUUCCUAUCCUUACAAUUUCACAUAUUUAUCCCCAUUGAAAACUUCAACCAGUUUGUCAUCAAUCACCAAAAAGGGGGAGAUUGUAAGUGCAUCUAGUGCCACCCCUAGUUGGUUUUGAAGUAUUGACGACAAAGUUGGUUGAGGGACUAAUGCGUUUGUGAGAAUUGCAGGAUAACGCAGGUUGUGUCCCUCAUUGAUUUGGUUUACCUACCGGAGAUGACCCCUAAAAAUGUAUGAAGACAUUGAAGACAAUGGUGGUAUGAGAAGAUAUUCAUAUUGAAGACUAUGACAUGAGAAGACAUUGCGUGAAGACUAUGGAGCGCGAAGACUGUGUGGAUCCGUUGCUUCCUUUUCUUCUUUGUUGAGUCAUAGGAACCAUCGUACUGUUAAGUGGGGUCCAAGUGAACUAAGUCAGAGUGACUGAAGUGAUGCUCAACUCAAAUCCUAUGUCUUCGAGCGAAGACAAUGAGAGCAAACCUUAUCCAGAGCUGGAUGAGUCAGCUUUGCUUGUAGCCCAAGUAAAGUUGCCGCGUGUGUUUGAAAUCUGACCGUUGGAACACGUGUCAGUUCCUUAGUGACCCAGGGUCAUUUUGGACAAAUCAGGUCGGGUUUCCUAGUGGCUAUAAAUAGCCCACCCCUACACCAUAAAUUGGUGGCUGCUCAGAGUUAGUAUACGGCUUUUGUCGUUUGAGAGCAACCCACCUCGAAGCAUUUGAGAGAGAGAAAUCCUUGCGAGGACAAAGCCCAAACACCCAGAGCCAAAGAGUGUUAGGCAUCACUGAAGUCUUUUUGUCUGUGUGACCUGAAGACUUAUUACACUUGAGGACUGUGUAUCCUCCAGCCGGUUAGGCGUCGCGUUCUGAGCAUCCAAGAAUCAUUGUGGAUUGCCGGGUGAACGAAGUCUGUGAAGGUUUGGAAGUCUACCUUGAAGACUUACCAGAGUGAUUGGGUGAGGACUAAGUGACCUUAGCUCAAGGGGAAUAAGGUGAAGAUACGGUCUUUUGAGUUGAAUCUCAGCCUCCCUAACCAGACGUACAGUUGUCACAGCAACCGGAACUGGUUCAACAAAUCCUGUGUCUUCAACAAGUAACUGGUUCUAUCUCUUCCCUCCUUUACCUUGAGUUUGUCUUCGUGAAGUCGUUGCUUAUCUGUCUUAUCUGAUUGACUUCAUUGCUUGACUACUAUUGUUGAUUGGCUUCAUACUAUCUUCCAUCCUGAUCCUGCUACCAAGCUGCUAUUAGUCUUCGUACGUUAACGCUAUUGCAUACUUGACUAUGGCUUGCUUGUUAUAGUUUAUCUUCCGCUGCAUAUCAAUUAGGUUAUUUCUAUUGUUUGUCUUCGAAACUUCCACGUUUUUGAAGACUUUGAUAAAAAUCGCCUAUUCACCCCCCCUCUAGUCAAUAACUAGCAGUUUCAACACCGCUUUACCAGAGACGUAGAACUCGCAAGCAGCGUGAAUGGAUGGUAGAAAUGGUUCAGCCCAAUACUGUACGCCACACAAAAAUCUUCAGGCGAGACGGGAGUUAUGCUCGCUAUAAGCGAGAUACAGUUCUUGCAAGUUUGUACGUCCGUGUUGAAUUAUAGAUAAGCCAACCCAUACUAGAAGCAGCCGCGCGUGUUGCUGCGCCGUUUUCUUUGUUGCGUUUUUUCAUUGACCAUCCACUCAUCGAACUAUUACGAUGAUACAUCGAAGAUAUUUGUCUUGCGAUGAUGUGUCAAAAGUAUGUCGCGCAUGACAGUAUCCUUGGUUGCACUCUUUUUUGUCCUAAAUAUUGGUUACAUAUGUGAACUGCGAACAAUUAUAUUGCUUGCUCGUUUUGUAAAACUAUCAAGUAUCUACCAGGCGGUCUAAAAGCAAUCACACAAUUAUGAAUACAACUUUAGCAAAUAUGAAGCGAUAUCAGUUGGGAUGCAUAAAAUACGAAUGUUUCAACCUCACUCCGAAGGAGGACCAAAACUAAUUUUGCAAAAUAUAACUUGCUUUAUAUUCUAGGUACAGAGCAUUUGUCAGUCAGUCAUUUUUUCUCUUUUCUGGGAUAUAAUUUCUCACAACCAAGCUUUAGCCAACGCAAACAAAAGACCAUUAUCACCAUGCCAUAGAACAACAACUGACCAAACUGCCAUAGACAUAGAUGCCGUCAGGCGGGCACAAUACUAAAUGGAUACUGAGAUGCUAGCUCUAGGUAAAUAUACCACAACAAGAUAUGUUAAAUAUGGUUGUAACAUGCUCGAUACCAGAAUGUUAGCUGCCAAGGCUGAUCUAGAAUAUCAUCAAAAGCAGCCACCUCUCCCAGACCAUACUUAAUUUGAACAACAAAAUAGAGACCUCCCAAUAAAAUAGAGAAAAGCAAACGGUUAAUUAAUAUGCUGGAAAAAUCAAGAUGAUUAGGACACAUCUUGCAGAAACAUAUUGGUGAAAUAAUAAUCACGCAAAGAAUCAUGGAGAAAGAACUAUUGUCAGGAUCAUGAGGCUAACAAUUAAUUGCAUAGCUAGUAGUAGUAGUGGCCGAUUAACAGCUUAGUUGACCUGCAAGUAGACAUGGUAAAUCUGUUCGUCAGAUAGACAGUUCGUGUCCCACGGGCCUCUCCUCUCCUGCAGUGUCUUCUGGAGGGUAACCCCAUGACCGUGUGCGCCAAGUUCUUCAGCCUGAUCUGGCGGAGCUCCGGAGUGCCAUCUCCUCAGGCAGGCCCCCAUACUUAACACUUACACAAGGGUAUCUUCGCUGGUAAAAUAUAGGUAUUGUUUCUCAAAACAAUAAAGAAAAUAACAUUAAUAAUAUGCGAUCAUUUUAUAGUUUUGUAAAACAUACUGAAUUAGUGACAUUAUAUGGUCAUCUACUGUCAAAUGAAAUAAUUAUUUCCACCAAUAAAACGUUCAGGGUAUUGUCUAGUGGUGUGUAGAAAAAAGGAUUUUCAGCAUAAAUAGCGCCACGGUUACCUCAAGCGAGAGAGUAUCCAGUCAAUCUAUUGCUGUUUCAACAAACUAUGUGUCGUGGCCUUAGGAUAUCUUUGACUUGAGAAGCAGUUCCAUCAUCUGUUUUCCUAUUUGGUACUAAAGUGAUUUCCCCCGGUUUUGAGCUUGGUAAUUUAUUUUCCAGCUGAAGUCAUUAGAAAAAUGAAACUGUGUUACAUAACUUACAUUGAGGAUUACACUGCAAUUAAAGUGAUAUUAAGACUAUCUAUACAUUGUCAGCUAAAAAAUUAAGAUAUACUGGGAGGGCUACCAUGUUCUCCUAGAGAAGGCAUAAUUGGAAGAUGUGAAGUAGUUAUGUCCAGACUUGUAGAAAGCACAUAGGACGAAUGUUUGUAGUUACACCACAUAAUCUCGACCAAGCCGCAUGAGACUGAAUGUAUCAAGUAAACAUGCAAAUAAAAUGCACGUUGCUAUCAAGUACUCCCUCUGUGAACUAAUAUAAGAGGGUUUAGAUAACUAAAGUAGUGAUCUAAACACUCUUAUAUUAGUUUAUGGAGGGAGUACUAAAAGUUUAUGUUCCUUGAUUCCUUCCUUGGAGAGUAAGCAGGUAUUCCACAAUUUAUUAUACAGAAGAAAAAAGGACAAUAUCAGCUAGAGCUCUCAUGUCCAAAAUAAAAUGGCCACAUAUAUCUACUUUGUGAUAAUCCCUGAUAUGCAAACUUGCAGCAUAAUCAAAAUAGCACUAUAUGAAAAUGGUUAUAUUUUUGAAAUUGUUGCACGGAAGCUUCGACAGUAUAAGCAAAGAUAAAUGCACACCUUCCUGCAUAUCUCCCAAACCUGCAUAGUUCAGACAAUAGCCAAUUAGUGCGAGACCUACAAUCGUUUAUACCUAACAGUUCAGCUAACUAAGAGCAGUGUGAAGGAACUACUCCCUCCAUUCAUUUUUGUAAGACGUUUUGGACAGCUGACAUUGAGCUGUUUUGUGCCCUGUCUGAAUUGUCUAAACAUCUUAUAAAAGGGAACAGAGGGAGCAUAUGUUUAAAGAAUACAGAAGAAAGAAUGUAUAAAUACAACCAUACAUAAGCAUAUUAAAGUAACUCACCAUAUAUUUAAAGGAACCCACCAUUUCUCAUCUUCACUAUGUACAACUUAAACUCAAGUAACAACUGCAAAGUUUUCAUGGGAUUGUGAGAGGGCAACAAAUGCCUAGAAUCAGAUGAGAAAAUGCUAGUGUAAUGGUACAAUUAAGAAGACUAUAACCGCAGCCAUAGAGUAAUCCAGAUCUAAGUAUGAAGUUUUAUAGAGGAUAAACAGUGAAGAUGUUCACUUCAGAGAAUAAUUUCACAAGUGUAGGUACGUAUUGAUCAACUUUUCGUGGGCCUCACUUUGGCCAAGAUAUAGAAAAUCAAGCUCCUCAAAUAGGCAAGUUCCGAAGUCUCAAAGCUUGAUAAGUUGAUCAAGUAAACAUAGAGCCAAAGUGAGGCAUCCAGAAAUAUUUGAUGGAGCAUCUCAAUAAGUGAUUCGUACACCAAAUCGGUAGAUUACAGCUGUAGCCCACACCAUUUAAUCACUACGUCCAAAAAAGCAAAAAUAAAAUAAAAUUGUAGCCCGAAUCACGCAUACAACACUAAUUUCUGCGGAUAAAAUAACACACUCCAAAAUAAUCUCAUAACAUAUACUACUUUUCACGUUCGGGUAAUCAAAAUGAAAUGAAACUAAGGUAUCAACACUGUUUAAAAUACUUGAGAUUGUCUUUUAAGGCGAAACAUUAGUGUGGAAAUUACUCCCGACGGAAGUACUUCUCAGUUCCUUGGUAUGAAAAAGGAACUUUUUGAUGUGGAUACAUUUUCCCCCUCUGCUAUAAAAAUUAUGUCCCCAAUGAUUCAUCAUUUACCU